rnacentral:rRNA from 1 species
CCCUUAGAUGUCCGGGGCUGCACGCGCGCUACACUGAAGGAAUCAGCGUGCUAAAACCAUUGUCGAAAGGCAUUGGUAAACCCAUUAAAAUCCUACGUGAUUGGGAUCGGGAAUUGCAAUUAUUUCCCUUGAACGAGGAAUUCCCAGUAAGUGUGGGUCAUAAGCUCGCGUUGAUUACGUCCCUGCCCUUUGUACACACCGCCCGUCGCUGCCCGGGACUGAGCCGUUUCGAGAAAAGCGGGGACUGCUGCUGUCGGGGCUUUCGGGCCUUGGUUUCGGUGGAAACCGCUUUAAUCGCAGUGGCUUGAACCGGGCAAAAGUCGUAACA